GGGGAUUCUAUUUCCUUACUUAAUUGGGUUUUAAUUGGGAGUUCUUUUUAUUCAAUUGGGUUUUGGGAAUUCCUUAAUUAAGUAGAAUUGGGAAUCCUCUUUAUAAAAGACCAAUAACAUCACCCAAUUUCAUCAAAGUGUGUGUGCAUCACAAGAAUCCUGCGUAUUUGUUUUUCCUUCUUGAGUACGUCAAUCCAAAGUAAGUCGAAUGCAUUUUUUUUUUUUCUUGAGCAAACUCCAAUUUUAUUUAAUCUUUUUUUAAUAAUUUUUUUUUUCUUAUUUAGCUCUCUCUGUAUUAGUAAGAUCAGUAGCAAACUGGAGGAGGAAGAGGCUACGUGACAUGUUAUUCGAGGUAUAAUUAAUUUUUAUUUGUUUAUUUAAUUGAUAAUUUGAUAUUGAUUUAUUUAUUUAAUUGAUAAAUUAUAGUCGAAGUGCUCCCUCUCUUAGCCUUUGCCACCUUUCUCCCAAUAGGUCUCGGCACACGUGGGAGUGGUGAGUCUUGAUCCAUUGGGGAGUCCAAUGGUGAAUCGGUUGCCGGCAAAUCGUGGAGCAGCGUCUCAUUCAACACAACCGGCCGACCACUGAAAAUAAUUUUGAAUCUCGAACAAUUCUUCACAACUUCCCAAUACUGGUGACUUAGGAAACUUUUUU
rnacentral:lncRNA from 1 species